GGAUUAGAUACCCUGGUAGUCCACGCCGUAAACGAUGAGAACUAGAUGUCGGGAGGAUCUGCCUUUCGGUGUCGCAGCUAACGCGUUAAGUUCUCCGCCUGGGGAGUACGCCGGCAACGGUAAAACUCAAAGGAAUUGACGGGGACCCGCACAAGCGGUGGAGCAUGUGGUUUAAUUCGAUGCAACGCGAAGAACCUUACCAGCCCUUGACAUUGACAGAACCCUGUAGAGAUACGGGGGUGCUUCGGCCUGGAAAACAGGUGCUGCAUGGCUGUCGUCAGCUCGUGCCG
rnacentral:rRNA from 1 species